rnacentral:rRNA from 1 species
UACAGGGGGGGCAAGCGUUGUUCGGAAUUACUGGGCGUAAAGGGCCAGUAGGCGGCCAACUAAGUCACACGUGAAAUCCCCAGGCUUAACCUGGGAACUGCGUGUGAUACUGGAUGGCUUGAAUUCGGGAGAGGGAUGCAGAAUUCCAGGGUGUAGCGGUGAAAUGCGUAGAUAUCUGGAGGAAUACCGGUGGCGAAGGCGGCAGUCCUGGACCGACAUUGACGCGUGAACGGCGAAAGCUAGGGGAGCAAACGGG